rnacentral:tRNA from 1 species
GGCAACAUGGCCAAGAGUGGUGAGGCAGAGGACUGCAAAUCCUUGAUCAUUGUUGUCU